GACGCGGGCGGCGGCGCGACGGGCAUUUACACCCGAAGCCGCCAACGGAGUACAACCUCUCUAACUGCUAACGACGAACGUUACGCACUGGCCGCUUAAUUGCGGCCGUCCUCGCACUGGCUCGCUGGCGGGCUAGAGUCGCAAGACUACGCGAGGUCAUUAACGCCAGAUAAGCCCUGAGUUUGUCACGGACCCAGGGACGAAAAUUUAGUGACUCGCCGUUGUAGAGCGUGUCCGUCCGCGAUGCACCGGUUAGAUCAAAUGACAGGACUAAGUAUGUAGAACUCUCUGUGGAGGGCUUGCGGACGCGGGUUCGAUUCCCGCC
rnacentral:tmRNA from 1 species